rnacentral:rRNA from 1 species
GGGUUGUGAGGUUAAGCGACUAAGCGUACACGGUGGAUGCCCUGGCAGUCAGAGGCGAUGAAGGACGUGCUAAUCUGCGAUAAGCGUCGGUAAGGUGAUAUGAACCGUUAUAACCGGCGAUUUCCGAAUGGGGAAACCCAGUGUGAUUCGUCACACUAUCAUUAACUGAAUCCAUAGGUUAAUGAGGCGAACCGGGGGAACUGAAACAUCUAAGUACCCCGAGGAAAAGAAAUCAACCGAGAUUCCCCCAGUAGCGGCGAGCGAACGGGGAGCAGCCCAGAGCCUGAAUCAGUGUGUGUGUUAGUGGAAGCGUCUGGAAAGGCGUGCGAUACAGGGUGACAGCCCCGUACACAAAAAUGCACAUACUGUGAGCUCGAUGAGUAGGGCGGGACACGUGGUAUCCUGUCUGAAUAUGGGGGGACCAUCCUCCAAGGCUAAAUACUCCUGACUGACCGAUAGUGAACCAGUACCGUGAGGGAAAGGCGAAAAGAACCCCGGCGAGGGGAGUGAAAAAGAACCUGAAACCGUGUACGUACAAGCAGUGGGAGCACGCUUAGGCGUGUGACUGCGUACCUUUUGUAUAAUGGGUCAGCGACUUAUAUUCUGUAGCAAGGUUAACCGAAUAGGGGAGCCGAAGGGAAACCGAGUCUUAACUGGGCGUUAAGUUGCAGGGUAUAGACCCGAAACCCGGUGAUCUAGCCAUGGGCAGGUUGAAGGUUGGGUAACACUAACUGGAGGACCGAACCGACUAAUGUUGAAAAAUUAGCGGAUGACUUGUGGCUGGGGGUGAAAGGCCAAUCAAACCGGGAGAUAGCUGGUUCUCCCCGAAAGCUAUUUAGGUAGCGCCUCGUGAAUUCAUCUCCGGGGGUAGAGCACUGUUUCGGCAAGGGGGUCAUCCCGACUUACCAACCCGAUGCAAACUGCGAAUACCGGAGAAUGUUAUCACGGGAGACACACGGCGGGUGCUAACGUCCGUCGUGAAGAGGGAAACAACCCAGACCGCCAGCUAAGGUCCCAAAGUCAUGGUUAAGUGGGAAACGAUGUGGGAAGGCCCAGACAGCCAGGAUGUUGGCUUAGAAGCAGCCAUCAUUUAAAGAAAGCGUAAUAGCUCACUGGUCGAGUCGGCCUGCGCGGAAGAUGUAACGG